AACAGGAACAAAAAGUAUCUUGGAAACAACUUGCCUCCAAAGAAGGUCUUCUAUUUUCAUUUUUCACCAUGUUGCUUGAACAUUAAGGAGCCAUCUGGCAGUGAAGGGGCUCUCUGCAGUCUGUAUUGCAGGUGAGAAAAAACAUCAGAUGAAGUCGAGGGACCAGAAAGUGAGUCUUCUAGGCAUGAGGAUCCGUUCUCCUGGAUGGCUUUUUAAAAUAUUUCUUCCAGAAUCAUCUGCCUCAUUAAUAAGUUUUCCUUAGAAGUCUCUCUUUGAUUUAUAAAUGGACAUAUUUUUGUUUUGA